UACGUAGGUGGCAAGCGUUGUCCGGAUUUACUGGGCGUAAAGAGCGCGCAGGCGGUCGGAUAAGUCGAAUGUGAAAGCCCCCGGCUCAACUGGGGAGGGUCAUUCGAUACUGUUCGACUCGAAGGCAGGAGAGGGAAGUGGAAUUCCCGGUGUAGUGGUGAAAUGCGUAGAUAUCGAGAGGAACACCAGUGGCGAAGGCGAGUCCCUGGACAACACCUGACACUGAGGCACGAAAGCCGGGGGAGCAAACAGG
rnacentral:rRNA from 1 species